AUUGAACGCUGGCGGCAGGCCUAACACAUGCAAGUCGGGCGGAUGAAGGGAGCUUGCUCCUGGAUUCAGCGGCGGACGGGUGAGUAAUGCCUAGGAAUCUGCCUGGUAGUGGGGGAUAACGUCCGGAAACGGGCGCUAAUACCGCAUACGUCCUGAGGGAGAAAGUGGGGGAUCUUCGGACCUCACGCUAUCAGAUGAGCCUAGGUCGGAUUAGCUAGUUGGUGGGUAAAGGCCUACCAAGGCGACGAUCCGUAACUGGUCUGAGAGGAUGAUCAGUCACACUGGAACUGAGACACGGUCCAGACUCCUACGGGAGGCAGCAGUGGGGAAUAUUGGACAAUGGGCGAAAGCCUGAUCCAGCCAUGCCGCGUGUGUGAAGAAGGUCUUCGGAUUGUAAAGCACUUUAAGUUGGGAGGAAGGGCAGUAAGUUAAUACCUUGCUGUUUUGACGUUACCAACAGAAUAAGCACCGGCUAACUUCGUG
rnacentral:rRNA from 1 species